CCCCUCUCAGGAUCACACCUGGAGAGUUUCCUGUACUCUACCAGUCUUGAUUACGGGAGGGAGAGUCAAGCAGAGGCAUGGCCAGUCCAUUCCCAGCUUGGCCAGUGGCUAGCGAGUGGAAGGCAAUCUACGGCAAGU